GGUCUUCUUCACUCAAAAGGUCACCAAGAGCAGGAUGACUCAAAAACUGCAGAAAGCAGGGGCAGGCCCAAUUGACAUUAGAAAUUAUCAACAGAACAUUAAAAAAGGAAAAAAAAAAAAAAACCAUAUCCCGGGAUGACAGUUAAUUAAUAUAUUCCCUUAAUGAAACAGCAGAUAGAACACUAACAGCAGUUAACCAGAAGUCCGGAAUGGAUUUGAUGAUAUCAUUUCGCUUGUCAUAGAUGGGCUUCCUUAUCUCGUUGUACUUCUGCUCUACUUCCAAAACUUUAUCACUUGCUUCCUCAUUGAUCUGUAACAUUGGAAACCAAAAGACAUACAAUGAAAAAAGGCAAUUCCACUGUAUAUGUUUGCAUACUCUAAGGCCAAGUCAAAUGCAAGCUGUAAUAGUGCACU
rnacentral:lncRNA from 1 species